AAUAAGUGCGUUAAGGAUUGCAAGGGAAAGCCCACAGCCCGACGUAGGAGGAGCGAGGACUUGUACUGGAAAGCCUGACCCUUU
rnacentral:misc_RNA from 1 species